rnacentral:rRNA from 1 species
UACGUAGGGGGCAAGCGUUGUCCGGAAUCAUUGGGCGUAAAGAGCGUGUAGGCGGUCCGGUCAGUCGGUUGUGAAAGUCAAGGGCUCAACCCUUGAAUGCCGGCCGAUACUGCCGGGCUAGAGUCCGGAAGAGGUGAGUGGAACUCCUGGUGUAGCGGUGAAAUGCGCAGAUAUCAGGAAGAACACCAAUGGCGAAGGCAGCUCACUGGGGCGGUACUGACGCUGAGACGCGAAAGCGUGGGGAGCAAACAGG